UGGGGAAUUUUGGGCAAUGGGCGAAAGCCUGACCCAGCAACGCCGCGUGCAGGAUGAAGGCUCUAGGGUCGUAAACUGCUGUCAGGAGGAAAGAACGGCAUCGGGGGAAAUAUUCCCGGUGUUUGACGGUACCUCCAAAGGAAGCGCCGGCUAACUCCGUGCCAGCAGCCGCGGUAAUACGGAGGGCGCAAGCGUUGUUCGGAAUUACUGGGCGUAAAGCGCGUGUAGGCGGUUUGGCAAGUCGGAUGUGAAAUCCCCGGGCUCAACCCGGGAACUGCAUCCGAAACUGCCGAACUAGAGUCCCGGAGAGGAAGGCAGAAUUCCCAAUGUAGGGGUGAAAUCCGUAGAUAUUGGGAGGAAUACCAGUGGCGAAGGCGGCCUUCUGGACGGUGACUGACGCUGAGACGCGAAAGCGUGGGGAGCAAACAGGAUUAGAUACCCCCGUAGUCC
rnacentral:rRNA from 1 species